UCUUUCUUCUUCUUUCUUCUUCUUUCUCAUUCUUCUUGUUUUUCUUCUUCUCUCGUUCUUCUGCUUCUGUGAGUUUGGGAGAAUUAAAUCAUGAGGAUGUAUUAAAGAAGGAGGAGGAGGAGUUGUUUCUGUUGAUUAUGAAGAAGAAUUUUGAGAUGUUGUUAUAAUCGAAGAUAAGGUUUUCAGAAUGAUGAAGAUGAUUGAGGUUUCGUGGAAUUAAUUAGUGAAUUGAGUUCCUGAUGGAUGAAGAUUGUUUGGGUUGAAGUUUAAUUAAAGUUUUGUAGUUGUAUUGAAGUUAUGAAGGUGACUCAGGAAAAAAAUCAAAGGAUUAGGGUUUCUGCAAAUUGAAUUGAAAUUCAAUUUAGGGUUUCAUGAGAUUAAACUCAGAGAAGAUGGACUUGAUGUACAAGAGGGAUGCUUGAAGAUGGGUAUUGUGUUAAUUAACAGUUGAGGUGAUGAGUUGAUUAACCAGAGAAUUAGGCUUAUAUAAGAUGAACUCAAAAGAGUUAUAGAUGAUGAAAUUGAGGUUCAAGAAGUAUGAUUAGAGAUGGGUUUGUGAUGAAUUAAGGUUUAGAGUUAAAGAAUAACUCGAACUGGAUAGUUAGGGUUUGAGCAGUGGUUAUGAAGAUCAAGGUGAAAUGGAUAACUUGAAGUUCUUAAAUUUUACUGAUGAGGUGUUGAAUCAGCUCAAGACAAAGAAGAAAGUAAUUCAAUUGCUGCAAUAGAAUUAUCUUGAGGUAAUUACUCUCUCAGUAACUUAGUAAAGUUAUUGAUUUCAAAUAAUGAGUUAUAAAUUGUGAAUGUGGAUGAAUAUAUGAUGGAAUUGAAGUAUAGAUGAAUGUUUAGUGUUCUGCAAGAGGAAUUUCUACUGCAGGUUGGUAAGUAUGGAGAUGAAGUUGAGUUUAUGCGGAUGUUGUUGGAUUGAAAAGAGUUGAGAUAGCUCAUACAUGGUUAUGAAUUGGGUCUGAUGCAAAGAAAAAUUGUGGUUUGAAUUGAAGUUUGUGUUUGUGUCAGUUUUGGGGUUGUUAUGGUUUGAAUAGAUCUUGCUGUUGUGCUGAGGUGCAGGGAAUGAUUGAAGUUUUGGAGGUGUCUGAAUUGAGAUGGUGAAACACAGGGGGGUUCAUGGAGUUAAACUUAGUUGAAGAUGAUUGGGAUAGUGGUUAUUUAAUGAUGCUAAGGAUCUGUGAAUGAAUUGCAAGUAUGUCUAGUGGCGUUGAGCUACAGUGGUAGUUAACUGAAAUGGGUAUGACUGAGAAGAAUGUGGCAAUGGGAUAGUGAAUGGAGCUGUAAAUGUUAUUAAAGUUUGGUUGUAGCUGUGGCAUUGCAGUUAGUAGUUGAAUCAAGAUUGUAGGUUGGCUCAGGUGGUUGGUGUCGAGUUGGGGGAGUAGUUGUGGAGGCACAGUUUAGUGGAUUUAAGAUUGAGGUAGGUGUUACGAAUUGAUCUCAGUGAGUGAGAAUUUGCAGGCUUAGAUUGAGAUGGAGUCAUGUAAUUGUGAAGAAGAAAUUGUUGAAAUUACAAGACUUGAAGGUAUAUUGAAUUGCAUACUAGAAGUUAGUAGUGUUAUAGUUGUUGGAACUUGAGUGUACUUAUGUGAUGUUUGGAAUGAAGUUGAUUGUGUUGUUGUCUUGGAAGUGGCCUUAGUGAAGUCUGCAACUGCAAAUUAAGUUAGUCGGUAUUAACAACGAUCGGUUUAAAGAAUGAACCAGUGGAUCGUGGAUAUCGAUGUAGGCGUCGCUUGUCAUCAAAAGAGGGAUGAUGUGCUCACUCAUUCCCACUUUCAGUUUCAGAGACAGAUCAGGAUGUGAAUGUGACGAUGAAAGCUUCGAAGAAUUAUUUACGUUAGUUAGUUAGUUUCCGUUAUGUUUAUUCUAUAUUUGUAUUCCAUUUGUAAAUCAACUCAAUAUUGAAUAUGUAUCAUUUGAGAGGAGUUUUUGUAUAUAUAUUUCAGAGCGGGGCUAUUUUUUGGGUUAA